rnacentral:rRNA from 1 species
GACGGGUAGCCGACCUGAGAGGGUGACCGGCCACACUGGGACUGAGACACGGCCCAGACUCCUACGGGAGGCAGCAGUGGGGAAUAUUGCACAAUGGGCGAAAGCCUGAUGCAGCGACGCCGCGUGAGGGAUGACGGCCUUCGGGUUGUAAACCUCUUUCAGCAGGGACGAAGCGCAAGUGACGGUACCUGCAGAAGAAGCACCGGCUAACUACGUGCCAGCAGCCGCGGUAAUACGUAGGGUGCAAGCGUUGUCCGGAAUUACUGGGCGUAAAGAGUUCGUAGGCGGUUUGUCGCGUCGUUUGUGAAAACCAGCAGCUCAACUGCUGGCUUGCAGGCGAUACGGGCAGACUUGAGUACUGCAGGGGAGACUGGAAUUCCUGGUGUAGCGGUG